GCAGUCGAGCGGACAGAAGGGAGCUUGCUCCCCGAUGUUAGCGGCGGACGGGUGAGUAACACGUGGGUAACCUGCCUGUAAGACUGGGAUAACUCCGGGAAACCGGAGCUAAUACCGGAUAGUUCCUUGAACCGCAUGGUUCAAGGAUGAAAGACGGUUUCGGCUGUCACUUACAGAUGGACCCGCGGCGCAUUAGCUAGUUGGUGAGGUAACGGCUCACCAAGGCAACGAUGCGUAGCCGACCUGAGAGGGUGAUCGGCCACACUGGGACUGAGACACGGCCCAGACUCCUACGGGAGGCAGCAGUAGGGAAUCUUCCGCAAUGGACGAAAGUCUGACGGAGCAACGCCGCGUGAGUGAUGAAGGUUUUCGGAUCGUAGAGCUCUGUUGUUAGGGAAGAACAAGUGCAAGAGUAACUGCUUGCACCUUGACGGUACCUAACCAGAAAGCCACGGCUAACUACGUGCCAGCAGCCGCGGUAAUAC
rnacentral:rRNA from 1 species